UGUUACUAAGUGGAACUGAGGGAUAUUUAUGUUAAACAUAAUAUUAUGUACCCGAUAUUAUACUUUUUAAUCAAGAAUCACAUGUUUUUGUUGUAAAGCGUAAUUUGUAAGCAAAACACCUUUUAUAUUUUCUCACCAUCCAUGACAGAGUUGUAUAUCCACCCCUUUUAAGAAAAAAUGGUACAGCUCAUGCAACACCGGUUUGCUUCUGUGAAUGCAGCCAAUCAGAGACGGCGAAAAUGUCCCUCGCCAAUCAGAGCACCGCCUACUCUAUGACGAGCGUACAGUUGGCGAUUUCUUUUCUUUUUUAUCAGAUUCAAGGAACUGCGGGAAAUCUGAGGCAGGCGACGAGGCUAGUUGAAAAGGGAUUAUGCUGUAAUCUUCUUCAUGCAUGUAAAAGGGAAGUGUACCCAAACAAUACUAAUUCAGUAAGACUAGUGCAGUCGGUUUUCAAGGCGUUGCUUACUUAUUUAACUACGCUAUAAUUAAACUAGAAAGUGGAUAAAGGAGGUUAAAGCUCAUGAGAGUGAAAGUGAAGACAGGGACAGAAAAAGACUACAAACUGCAGUGUUGCUGCAGAAAAUGUAAAGGGACAUGCUACUCAGAAAUGCCAUCUGUUGCCAUUCCAUUUAAUGUAACAUAAAGCGGUUUGGCAGAAUGUCCAAGCUGCAUUUUUCCAUGCACGAAUGGGGUCUUUAUUGCAAUUUAAAGUAACAUUUAAAUUACAUUCCUAUAUUAACAUGAA